UUGACUUCUACAAUUUAUACAAAGCUUAAGAACAGAUCCAGUUUCAGUGGUAGUAUAGCUACAUAAACCACAUAAAAUGUGUGACUUCCUCAGAGCUUAAACAAAGAAUAGACUGAAACCUGUGAUACUUUCGCACUUCAUGAGACCUGUGCUGCAGAGCUGACUUCUCAGAAAUAAUCUACAUUCUUUCAUGCAAUGGACGAAAUAUAUCAGAAUGUUGAGUGUUUCAACCCAGCACCUUCAAUAAAUCACGCAGGUCAAGAAGAUCUAAGAGAAGUUUGCAUUUGGGUGUUAUUCUCUCUCUAAGCUUGCUGAGUGUAUUCUUUUUGUCUGGACUGAUCACUCUUGGUUUCUUCUACCAUAACUGCUUAUAUGAUUCAGCUAAACAGCUGUUGGAAAUCAAUAACCAGCUUUCCUCCAUG